CAGUCGCCACGGUAAAACGUAGGUCCCGAGCGUUGUCCGGAUUUAUUGGGCGUAAAGGGAGCGCAGGCGGUUUAGUAAGUCUGAAGUUAAAGGCAUUGGCUCAACCAAUGUAUGCUUUGGAAACUGUUAGACUUGAGUGCAGAAGGGGAGAGUGGAAUUCCAUGUGUAGCGGUGAAAUGCGUAGAUAUUGGGAGGAACACCGGCGGCGAAGGCGGCUUACUGGACGACAACUAACGUUGAGGCUCGAAGGCGUGGGUAGCAAACAGGAUUAGAUACCCCAGUAGUCCCUGUCUCUUAUACA
rnacentral:rRNA from 1 species